rnacentral:rRNA from 1 species
AUUGAACGCUGGCGGCAUGCUUUACACAUGCCAGUCGAACGGCAGCGCGGGCUUCGGCCUGGCGGCGAGUGGCGAACGGGUGAGUAAUGCAUCGGAACGUGCCCAGUAGUGGGGGGUAGCCCGGCGAAAGCCGGAUUAAUACCGCAUACGACCUGAGGGUGAAAGCGGGGGACCGAAAGGCCUCGCGCUAUUGGAGCGGCCGAUGUCGGAUUAGCUAGUUGGUGGGGUAAAGGCUUACCAAGGCGACGAUCCGUAGCUGGUCUGAGAGGACGACCAGCCACACUGGGACUGAGACACGGCCCAGACUCCUACGGGAGGCAGCAGUGGGGAAUUUUGGACAAUGGGGGCAACCCUGAUCCAGCCCUGCCGCGGGGGGGAAGAAGGCCUUCGGGUUGUAAACCCCUUUUGUUUGGGAAGAAAAUCUUCGGGGUAAAACCCCGGGGGGAUGACGGUACCCGAAGAAUAAGCACCGGCUAACUACGUG